CUCUCUGUAGCUCAGUUGGCAGAGCGGGGGACUGUAGAUGGUUUUAGAUUAGCAGUGAUCCCUAGGUCCCAGGUUCGAAUCCUGGCGGAGAGA
rnacentral:tRNA from 1 species